rnacentral:lncRNA from 1 species
CCGCCACAGCGCGGCACUGUCGGUCGCUAUGGAGACGCCUAACACCGCGCAGCUUGACCAUUAGAGACCAGUGUUUGAGCCUAACAGCGCAGCUUGAACCAUUCGACUAUAUCAUAUCAUAGAUCAUAUAGACCCGUGUUUGAGCCUAACACAAGGACAUUCAGAGAUUUCUGCGCCGCUCGGAGUCUGUGCAGCACUCACAGAGAACCUGCAGCACCUGAGAGAUCCUGCCAAGAAAAGAGCAUCUCCGUAUGGAGCAGAAGACGGGACCUGGCAAGUGGCUAGAGAACAGUCCCUGUGAGUCUGGCUUUGUGAGUGAUCAGUCCUCCAUGGAAAUCCCACCGGUCUUCAGAGAAAAUGUAAUGGUGACUUCACUGCCACCUGUUCACCUAAAU